UACGUAGGGAGCAAGCGUUGUCCGGAUUAUUGGGCGUAAAGAGCUCGUAGGCGGCUUAGAAAGUCAGAUGUGAAACUCCAGGCUCAACCUGGAGACGCCAUUUGAUACUUCUAUGGCUUGAGUUCGGUAGGGGACCAUGGAAUUCCUGGUGUAGCGGUGAAAUGCGCAGAUAUCAGGAGGAACACCGAUGGCGAAGGCAGUGGUCUGGGCCGAUACUGACGCUGAGGAGCGAAAGGCGUGGGAGCGAACAGG
rnacentral:rRNA from 1 species